rnacentral:tRNA from 1 species
AAGAAAGUGACAGAGUGGUGAUGUGAUUGGCUUGAAACCUAUUUACGGGGGUUCGAUUCCCUCCUUUCUGG